CGGGGGGGCAAGCGUUGUUCGGAAUUACUGGGCGUAAAGGGUUUGUAGGUGGCUUGUUAAGUCAGACGUGAAAUCCCUCAGCUUAACUGGGGAACUGCGUCUGAUACUGGCGAGCUUGAGUGCAGGAGAGGAACGCGGAAUUCCAGGUGUAGCGGUGAAAUGCGUAGAUAUCUGGAGGAACACCGGUGGCGAAGGCGGCGUUCUGGACUGCAACUGACACUGAAAAACGAAGCCAGGGUAGCAAACGGGAUUAGAUACCCCGGUAGUCCUGGCCCUAAACGAUGAAUGCUUGGUGUGGCGGGUAUCGAUCCCUGCCGUGCCGAAGUUAACGCGAUAAGCAUUCCGCCUGGGGAGUACGGUCGCAAGGCUG
rnacentral:rRNA from 1 species